AGAGCUCCUCGGCCUUUUGGCUAAGAUCAAGUGUAGUAUCUGUUCUUAUCAGUUUAAUGCUGGUGGGGAUGGGUGCUGCAUGGUAGGGAGCAGGUGUUCCGGAGCUGGUUCUGAGGAAUCAGCUCGACGGCUGCCCCGAUGUGACCUGCUUCCUCCGGGUCUCGCCAUGAGGUAGAGGGGUGUAGAGCCGAAGUACU